rnacentral:rRNA from 1 species
GAUGAACGCUGGCGGCGUGCCUAAUACAUGCAAGUAGAACGCUGAAGGAAGGAGCUUGCUCUUUCCGGAUGAGUUGCGAACGGGUGAGUAACGCGUAGGUAACCUGCCUGGUAGCGGGGGAUAACUAUUGGAAACGAUAGCUAAUACCGCAUAACAGUAGAUGUUGCAUGAUAUCUACUUAAAAGGUGCAAUUGCACCACUACCAGAUGGACCUGCGUUGUAUUAGCUAGUUGGUGAGGUAACGGCUCACCAAGGCGACGAUACAUAGCCGACCUGAGAGGGUGAUCGGCCAAACUGGGACUGGGACACGGCCCAGACUCCUACGGGAGGCAGCAGUAGGGGAUCUUCGGCAAUGGACGGAAGUCUGAACGAGCAACGCCGCGGGAGUGAAGAAGGUUUUCGGAUCGUAAAGCUCUGUUGUGAGAGAAGAACGAGUGUGAGAGUGGAAAGUUCACACUGUGACGGUAGCUGACCAGAAAGGGACGGCUAACUACGUG